rnacentral:rRNA from 1 species
AUUGGACGCUGGCGGAAUGCUUUACACAUGCAAAUCGAACGGCAGCACGGUGCAACCUGGUGGCGAGUGGCGAACGGGUGAGUAAUACAUCGGAACGUGCCCAAUCGUGGGGGAUAACGUAGCGAAAGUUACGCUAAUACCGCAUACGAUCUACGGAUGAAAGCGGGGGAUCGCAAGACCUCGCGCGAAUGGAGCGGACGGUGUCAGAUUAGGUAGUUGGUGGGGUAAAGGCUCACCAAGCCGACGCUCUGUAGCUGGUCUGAGAGGACGACCAGGAACACUCAGGCUGAGACACGGCCCAGACUCCUCCGGGAGGCAGCAGUGGGGAAUUUUGGACAAUGGGCGCAAGCCUGAUCCAGACGUGCGGCGUGCAGGAUGAAGCCCUGCGGGUUGUAAACUGCUUUUGUACGGAGCGAAAAGGCUCUCUCUAAUACAUGGGGCUCAUGACGGUACCGUAAGAAUAAGCACCAGCGAACUACGUGCCAGCAGCCGCCGUAACAC